AUGACCCAAACAGUUUCAAUUGUGUAGGUCAGGGCUGAUCUCAGGGGCAGGCUUGCCAGCGAGACAGUGCCAACAGGACUUUCCACAGAGCAGGGCCUCCUGAGGUUGGAAGGGCAGUCUUGUCAAAAGGAAAGGAGGUCCUUGGCCAUGGCAUGUAUGGUGAACCCAAAAAAGAACUACGUGGACCUAGACAUAUACCAGAGCUCGUACAUGGUCGACUAUAAGCCCUUCACGAAGCACAAAUACUCCAGAGUCACGCCACAAGAGGUAGGGGUAGUUGCAGGCCUGUUAUCCA